UUCUUCUUGUUCUCUAUCAAAAUGCAUUUCAGCUUGCAUUUUUGGCUUGGAGCACCUAUGAAUUCUCGAUACGUUCUUGCUUUCACAAAACAACUGUAGAUGUUGUCCUGAGAAUUUCAAUCGGAGUCGUCAUUCAAGUUCUUUGCAGCUAUGUGACUUUGCCCCUUUAUGCUUUAGUCACUCAGAUGGGUUCAACUAUGAAAACCACGGAGAUG